GGUUGCGAUCCUACCAGCACUAAUGCACCGGAUCCCAUCAGAACUCCGCAGUUAAGCGUGCUUGGGCGAGAGUAGUACUAGGAUGGGUGACCCCCUGGAAAGUCCUCGUGUUGCAACCCC
rnacentral:rRNA from 1 species